GAUGAACGCUGGCGGCGUGCCUAAUACAUGCAAGUCGAGCGAACGGACGAGAAGCUUGCUUCUCUGAUGUUAGCGGCGGACGGGUGAGUAACACGUGGAUAACCUACCUAUAAGACUGGGAUAACUUCGGGAAACCGGAGCUAAUACCGGAUAAUAUUUUGAACCGCAUGGUUCAAAAGUGGAAGACGGUCUUGCUGUCACUUAUAGAUGGAUCCGCGCUGCAUUAGCUAGUUGGUAAGGUAACGGCUUACCAAGGCAACGAUGCAUAGCCGACCUGAGAGGGUGAUCGGCCACACUGGAACUGAGACACGGUCCAGACUCCUACGGGAGGCAGCAGUAGGGAAUCUUCCGCAAAGGGCGAAAGCCUGACGGAGCAACGCCGCGUGAGUGAUGAAGGUCUUCGGAUCGUAAAACUCUGUUAUUAGGGAAGAGCAUAUGUGUAAGUAACUGUGCACAUCUUGACGGUACCUAAUCAGAAAGCCACGGCUAACUACGUG
rnacentral:rRNA from 1 species